rnacentral:rRNA from 1 species
CAGUAGCCGCGGGAAUACGAAGGGUGCCAGCGUUAACCGGAAUUACUGGGCGUAAAGCGUGCGUAGGCGGUGAGUUAAGUCUGCUGUGAAAUCCCCGGGCUCAACCUGGGAAUGGCAGUGGAUACUGGCUCGCUAGAGUGUGUCAGAGGAUGGUGGAAUUCCCGGUGUAGCGGUGAAAUGCGUAGAGAUCGGGAGGAACAUCAGUGGCGAAGACGGCCAUCUGGGACAACACUGACGCUGAGGCACGAAAGCGUGGGGAGCAAACAGGAUUAGAUACCCCUGUAGUCCCUGUCUCUUAUAA